GACGUAGGGGCAAGCGUUGUUCGGAAUUAUUGGGCGUAAAGCGCUCGUAGGCGGGACUGGAAGUCCGUGUUGAAAGACCUCGGCUCAACUGAGGGACCGGCUCGGAUACUCUAGUUCUUGAGGCAAUCAGAGGGUGAUGGAAUUCCCGGUGUAGCGGUGAAAUGCGUAGAUAUCGGAGGAACACCAGUGGCGAAGCGAUCAC
rnacentral:rRNA from 1 species